AGCUCCAAUAGCGUAUAUUAAAGUUGUCGUGAUGGUUACGCCUAUCGUUUACUGUGAAGAAAUUAGGGUGUUCAAAGCAGGCUUAUGCCAUGAAUACGUUAGCAUGGAAUAAUGAGAUAGGAUUUCGGUACUAUUUUGUUGGUUUGUGUACGGAAAUAAUGAUUAACAGGAACAGUGUUGUGGGUAUUCGUAUUUCGUUGUCAGAGGUGAAAUUCUUGGAUUUACGAAAGACGAACGACUGCGAAAGCAUUUACCAAGGAUGUUUUCAUUA
rnacentral:rRNA from 1 species